rnacentral:lncRNA from 1 species
CCCUUAAAAAAAAAAAAAAGACUUAUCUUUAUUUGGUGUAACUACUUGAGCCGGACAAGAGGUUUUUUACUACCCAAGAUUUCGAUACAUUUCGAAAUCGAGAAAUCUCUACCGGAGCUGGUGCUAUACGAGAACAAUUAGACGAUCUGGAUUUGCGAAUUAUUAUAGAUUAUUCAUUGGUAGAAUGGAAAGAAUUAGGGGAAGAAGAGCCCAUAGGUAAUGAAUGGGAAGAUUGAAAAAUUGGAAGAAGAAAGGAUUUUUUGGUUAAACGCAUGGAAUUAGCUAAGCAUUUUAUUCGAACAAAUAUAGAUUUCCACACCACAAAAGUGAGACAUUCUCACUUAAAAUCAAAUAAUAAUAAUAAAAAAGAAAACUAAAAAACUCAAGUGAGAAAUUAUUUAUCACUUAUAUAUUGUAUAUUUUAAGUGAGAAUUUAUCACUUUUGUGGUGUGAAAAUCAUCUCUUGAAGAGACAAUUUCCUAUUUGGUUGUUUUUUUUUUUUUUUUAAGUUAAAAUUUCUCAUAUAUAUAUAUAUAUAUAUAUAUAUAUAUAUAUAUAUAUUAUGGAAAUCGUCUCUUAAAGAGACGAUUUCUCACUUGGUUUUUAUAAUUAUUAUUUUUUGGAAAUCGUCUCUUGAAGAGACGAUUUCUUAUUUCUUUUUCUUUUUUUUGUAAAAAUUGUCUCUUUAAAAGAUGAUUUCUCAUUUCUUAAUUUUUUUUGAAAUCGUCUCUUUAAGAAAUGAUUUCUCAUAUAAAAAAUAGAAUUUUAGAAAUCGUGUCUUACAAAGAUGAUUUUUUUUAUAAUUUUUUAAAAAGUUCAUAAAUUGUCUUUUGAAGAUACGAUUUUUCACUUCCAAUUUAUUUUCUCUUUCUUAUCUGGCAAAAAUUACGGUAGAUUUGGAAUUAUUUUUUCUAUUACGAUAAUUUAAUAAUUAUUUUUUAAAACUCUCAUACUCUUAUAAAAAAAUCCCUCAUUUGAUAUUGUAGGGGGAUGGUGUAAAAAUCCUGUCAAAAAUAAAGCAAUUAUAGUAAUGGGAAAAAUUCAUGAAUGACAAGUUUACUUACACUAAGAUGCUUAAGAUUAAAAAUUUCAUAUAGAAGGAGGAGGUCAUCUUAUUUUCCCGUGUUAGCAAUUACCUGGAGCUCGUGAGGGGCGCUCAAAAUGUUUAACCUCGAAACGUGCGGCCAGUGAAAGAAACGUAUCGGAGGAAAAGCCGAAACCAUACCUCCCUCCAUCUUCCCCCAAAUCUUAUAAUAGAAAGAAACCUUUUGCUUCGUUCACCUGUUAUAUCGCGCGUCCCUUCUAAAACCUUCCAUAUUUCUUGUCCCAGAAACCAACCCUAAUUCCACCAGUCAUCAUCCAUUUCUAACCCUAGCCCCAAGAUUCCAAGAUAAUCUGUAUAAAAGACCUCAGCUAAAGCACUCUUUGCGGUUUAUCUGGUUUCAACUCGCAUCAGAUUGUUCCAUUUCUGCGAGUAAUUUUUUUAUUAUUGGAUCGGAGGCUGCUUCGCCGUUGGAUUUCGGAUCGCUUGUUUUGGAUUGGGGAAUCGGUGGAGAGAUCAGGGUUUUGCUGGAAAUGGGCAGUCAGAAGAAGAGGAAUUUUCAAAUAGAGGCGUUCAAGCAUCGGGUGGUGGUGGAUCCCAAGUACGCCGACAAGACUUGGAAGAUAUUGGAGCAUGCAAUCCAUGAGAUAUAUAAUCACAACGCUAGUGGUCUUAGUUUUGAAGAGCUUUAUAGGUUUGGUUUUGUUUUUUAAUUGCUUGUUCCAAGUCAAUUCAAUUCAUAUUUUUCUAUGAUUUUUUUUUUCAUAAUUGUUCCAUAAUCGAUCCAUUUUUCUCUUUGCUGUUUGAAAUUAAUUAUUUAUUUGUUUGGCGAUUAAGGUAGUGAUGUUCUGGAUUUUCAUCGAGUCGUAUAUGUUUGGUGGAAAUUGUUGUAGAUUUUAACCCUAAACCUGGGGGUGCUUUAGUUCAAUUAAAGCGUACAAGAAGUGGGUGGAAUCGUUUGCUUUUGCUUUGUUCCCUGGGAAUCUGUUUUGGUGGUUUUUUUUAGCAUGUGGGAUCAUCAGUGGAGUGUCAUACACGCCCUUAAUGAUUGGAGUUUUCCUCUGCAUAUACACUGAUGAAGUUAUUAUUUCCAUUUUUUUUUUUGGCGGAUUGUUUUAAAUCCACUAUUAUUGUGACAGCAAUGGUUAUGUGUUGAAUUGCAUUUAUGCUACGCAAUAGUACAUUAUUUCUAUCUUAAUCGUGUUUCAUUAGUUAGUAAUAUUGUUAGGAUCAGAACUUGGUGCCUGUGUCUAGUCUUUUGAGCCCAGAAAUGUAAGGUUUGAGACCAUGUGAUGUAGUGACACUUCUAUUGUUAAGGGAAUGUCGGAAAUUACUUUUACCCAAUAGUAAGGUAAGAGGGUCAUAUUUAUGGUGGAAGCUUAGUAGAAGUGCCCUACACUGGUUUGCUACUUGAUUUAGGUAUUCAUCAUAACUGAGACCUGUUGCACAACGCAUAUUGAUGGUGGAAUGGGCUGAUUUGUAUUUAUAUGCUUUUAUACCCAAAUCAAGUGAAGCAAUAUCUUGGCAUGAGUUGUCUCAAAUAUCUGAUGUUGCUUUGACGUGUUGCAAUGCAUAUUACUGAUGUGUGAUGCGAUAGAACAUUUGGCUAUCAAGUAUGAUUCUAUUGCCCUUACAAAAAUUAAAUGGAAAAUCAGUGACACUUGAUGAUGGAUUUUUAGUUAAUAUCUUAAUUAUGAACUCUCUGGGGAUAGUGACAACUAUUUAUAUUCAAAAUUCAAUUUGUAUUGUAAUAAACUAACAUGAAAGUGCUAUCUUUUAAUUUAACCAGUACACUAUCUGCAUUUAUCUGUUUUAAUAUACAUUUUCAUUUUUCUUAUCUUUCAAUUUUUUAUGCACAGUAAAGUUUAGGACUCAAUCUCAGUUGCCUAGCAGCCUAAGUCAUCCUGUGCACACCUGAGUCCUCAUGUAUCCCUAUGUGAACAAAUGCUCACCAAUUAUGAAAUUUCAUUCUGCGAAGAGUUAAUAUGUCCCAAGAAUUAGGAAAUGGUAUGGAUAAUAUGCUAAAACAAGUCUCUGUGAUUUUGGGGAUCUUGUGGAAUCACGACAUAUACCUUCAUUUUUAUUGAGGAGUUGAUUUUGUUAAGUGCUGAGGAUAAUUUACUAACUAAAGCUGUAGAUAGUAAAGUGAGUGUCUUCAAUUUCAGGAACUGUGUGGUUUCAGAACACAUGUUUCCAUUCAUAUCGAGUUGUUGAUUUCAUUAGUAAAUUUGUAGGCAAUCCUAUUUUUAUUAUAUAUUUCCUGUUGUUGAUAAUGUAGAGGUUGAUGAAGAUGCUUUCAAAUUUAUUCAUUAAAGUAAUGAAAAUGCUUUUAUUGGCAGGAACUUAAUCAGAUGGUGAACAUUCAAGCUUAAAACUUUCUUUGACUGAGCUAGGAUUCCAUGGGGGCUUGAUCUUUCUCUCUUGGAUUUCAUUGAUGGUUGAGUUAGGGUUGGGGCGUGUAGCCCUUGUUUUUUUUUCUUUACUGUUCUUUUUCCUCUUUGCCUUUUGUGCUCUAUGUAUGCUUUCUGUGUACUUGGUUUGUGCCCCCUUUUAUUAGGUCUGCCCUUUUAUAUAUUUUUCCUUGUCUAUAAUAAAAAGAAAUCCAUUAAUUUUUCAAAAAAUGCCAUUUUAAUGAAUAGGACUUACAAGAUGGUUUGACCCAAUGCUUUUGUUUAAUUCUGAAAUGGCAAUUUUUAAAGUUCAUAGUUCUAAAUCUUGGAUUUUUUUUUUUUUUUUUUUGUUCAUUUCAAACUGCUCAAUUGGAUUCAGUACUAGAAUGUUAGAUCUCACUUCCAGCUUUUCACAACUUCAUUUCCAGUACUUAAAGUUUACAAUACUACCAUUUUUCUAGUCAUUUUCAAUAGAGUUUUAUAAAACAAUUCCCUUUCUAGGUUUUUUUGUUUCUUAAAUGGGCCAUUAGGAAAUGAAGCUUGGCAGUAAUAUUGAAUUUUUAAGAUGAUAUAUUGCUAAAAUUGUGAAAACUUAAUGUAGAUGAUAUCGUACAAUACAUUUUUUAAACGUGGAAUGAUUUUAAGUGUAUUUUACUAGACAUAUGAUAAACAAUAUAUAUGAUAUGUGUGCAUUUGACAUUCUUUUAAAUAGUUUUUAAGAGACAUAAAGUUUUAACCUUUUUUUUGCCUUUAUACUAUUGUCUUUUUUUUUAUAGACUAUAUUGUUGUAUAUAAAUACAUUAUUGGUAAUUUUUCUUUUCUUUUCUUUAUAAUGUUGUGCAGAAGGCAUUUUAAAGUUAAAAAAUUUAAACUUUAGAAACUCUGUUUGUUUGCUUUCCCUCCAUCCAUUAUAAAAUAUUUUCCUUCCUUGUGGCAAUUAAGUUUUGAUGUAAAUUUUACUCUAUUUUUUCUCAUGUUUUUAAAUUAAAAAUCUUUUUCUUCCUUUUGAGAAAUGGGACCCAUUGGUGGGGUUAAUGAUGAACUUGGUAGUUGGAGCUUCAAACAUGCCAUAUAGGCAUAUAUGUCCAUACAAAUAUAUUGAUUGUUUGUACAUGCUCAUAAUUCCUUUUCUUUUGUUUGAAAUAUUGGUCAGGAACUUGGAACUUUUGGAUAAUGGUAAUGCAUACACAUGGCGCAUUCUUGCGCAUACAUUUCUUUAUUUUUUUCUUUUUAACUUCUAAUAUUUGAAACUUACCAUAAAUGCUAGCAUUGACUAAUAUGAUGCAGGAUGCAGCUGACCGGAUAUGACAUGUGAUUAGAGAAAUUUGAAAACAAUACAUGAUAUAAUUACUAAUUAACUACUGAUGUAACUAACCAUGAUGCCCUUAGGUCUCAGCUUUUUACAUAAUAUAACUAAUGACUUUUUUUACUUCUUACUUCAAUUUAUGCCUG